rnacentral:rRNA from 1 species
UACGUAGGUGGCAAGCGUUGUUCGGAAUUAUUGGGCGUAAAGGGCGCGUAGGCGGCCUGUUAAGUCAGCUGUGAAAGCCCGGGGCUCAACCCCGGAGGGUCAGCUGAUACUGGCAGGCUAGAGUACGGAAGAGGUAGCUGGAAUUCCCGGUGUAGCGGUGAAAUGCGUAGAUAUCAGGAGGAACACCGGUGGCGAAGGCGGGUCUCUGGGCCGUAACUGACGCUGAGGAGCGAAAGCGUGGGGAGCGAACAGG